AUGACUCUGGUCCUCAUCUGGACUCUCCUCUGCUGCUGCUUCACAGAGUCCAGAGGACAGGUCACAGUGACUCAGCCUGGAGCAGUGAGCUCUGCUCUGGGAGCCUCCGUCUCCAUCAGCUGUAGGUAUAAUUUAGCGGUGGGAACAGGAUCAAAAACUGGUAAAGAACUUUUAGCUUGGUACCAACAGAAAGAUGGAGAAACUCCUAAACUGCUAAUCCGCUACAUCAGUGAGAGGGCGUCUGGGAUUCCUGAUCGUUUUUCAGGCAAUGGAACAAAGACUGACUUCUCUCUGACCAUCAGUGGACUUCAGGCUGAAGAUGCAGCAGUUUACUACUGUCUGAGUGAUCACUGGAUCAACAGUCAGAGUGUGUUCACACAGUGA